UCCACAUCGACGGGGAGGUUUGGCACCUCGAUGUCGGCUCAUCACAUCCUGGGGCUGUAGUCGGUCCCAAGGGUUGGGCUGUUCGCCCAUUAAAGCGGUACGCGAGCUGGGUUCAGAACGUCGUGAGACAGUUCGGUCCCUAUCCGUCGCGGGCGCAGGAAAUUUGAGAGGAGCUGUCCUUAGUACGAGAGGACCGGGAUGGACGCACCGCUGGUGUACCAGUUGUUCUGCCAAGGGCAUCGCUGGGUAGCUAUGUGC
rnacentral:rRNA from 1 species